CAACACCCAAUGUUUACCACAGGCUGUAUUCUUUACACUGACUGUGUAGAAAGAGGAGGUACAGUAAAUGCACCCCAUAUACACCUCAGCUCAGGAUCUUUGCCUGGUCUGUAUUGUGAAUGGGGCGACAUAA